GGACUAUGAUGAUAUACAUGAAAGGUCUCGGUCAGCGUAAUGGAUAACAACCUUGACGACUAUUCAUAUAUAUCACUACUUUUUUUUUUCACGUUU
rnacentral:snoRNA from 1 species